AGCGUACACGGUGGAUGCCCUGGCAGUCAGAGGCGAUGAAGGACGUGCUAAUCUGCGAUAAGCGUCGGUAAGGUGAUAUGAACCGUUAUAACCGGCGAUUUCCGAAUGGGGAAACCCAGUGUGAUUCGUCACACUAUCAUUAACUGAAUCCAUAGGUUAAUGAGGCGAACCGGGGGAACUGAAACAUCUAAGUACCCCGAGGAAAAGAAAUCAACCGAGAUUCCCCCAGUAGCGGCGAGCGAACGGGGAGCAGCCCAGAGCCUGAAUCAGUGUGUGUGUUAGUGGAAGCGUCUGGAAAGGCGCGCGAUACAGGGUGACAGCCCCGUACACAAAAAUGCACAUGCUGUGAGCUCGAUGAGUAGGGCGGGACACGUGGUAUCCUGUCUGAAUAUGGGGGGACCAUCCUCCAAGGCUAAAUACUCCUGACUGACCGAUAGUGAACCAGUACCGUGAGGGAAAGGCGAAAAGAACCCCGGCGAGGGGAGUGAAAAAGAACCUGAAACCGUGUACGUACAAGCAGUGGGAGCACAGAGCAAUCUGUGUGACUGCGUACCUUUUGUAUAAUGGGUCAGCGACUUAUAUUCUGUAGCAAGGUUAACCGAAUAGGGGAGCCGAAGGGAAACCGAGUCUUAACUGGGCGUUAAGUUGCAGGGUAUAGACCCGAAACCCGGUGAUCUAGCCAUGGGCAGGUUGAAGGUUGGGUAACACUAACUGGAGGACCGAACCGACUAAUGUUGAAAAAUUAGCGGAUGACUUGUGGCUGGGGGUGAAAGGCCAAUCAAACCGGGAGAUAGCUGGUUCUCCCCGAAAGCUAUUUAGGUAGCGCCUCGUGAAUUCAUCUCCGGGGGUAGAGCACUGUUUCGGCAAGGGGGUCAUCCCGACUUACCAACCCGAUGCAAACUGCGAAUACCGGAGAAUGUUAUCACGGGAGACACACGGCGGGUGCUAACGUCCGUCGUGAAGAGGGAAACAACCCAGACCGCCAGCUAAGGUCCCAAAGUCAUGGUUAAGUGGGAAACGAUGUGGGAAGGCCCAGACAGCCAGGAUGUUGGCUUAGAAGCAGCCAUCAUUUAAAGAAAGCGUAAUAGCUCACUGGUCGAGUCGGCCUGCGCGGAAGAUGUAACGGGGCUAAACCAUGCACCGAAGCUGCGGCAGCGACGCUUAUGCGUUGUUGGGUAGGGGAGCGUUCUGUAAGCCUGCGAAGGUGUGCUGUGAGGCAUGCUGGAGGUAUCAGAAGUGCGAAUGCUGACAUAAGUAACGAUAAAGCGGGUGAAAAGCCCGCUCGCCGGAAGACCAAGGGUUCCUGUCCAACGUUAAUCGGGGCAGGGUGAGUCGACCCCUAAGGCGAGGCCGAAAGGCGUAGUCGAUGGGAAACAGGUUAAUAUUCCUGUACUUGGUGUUACUGCGAAGGGGGGACGGAGAAGGCUAUGUUGGCCGGGCGACGGUUGUCCCGGUUUAAGCGUGUAGGCUGGUUUUCCAGGCAAAUCCGGAAAAUCAAGGCUGAGGCGUGAUGACGAGGCACUACGGUGCUGAAGCAACAAAUGCCCUGCUUCCAGGAAAAGCCUCUAAGCAUCAGGUAACAUCAAAUCGUACCCCAAACCGACACAGGUGGUCAGGUAGAGAAUACCAAGGCGCUUGAGAGAACUCGGGUGAAGGAACUAGGCAAAAUGGUGCCGUAACUUCGGGAGAAGGCACGCUGAUAUGUAGGUGAAGUCCCUCGCGGAUGGAGCUGAAAUCAGUCGAAGAUACCAGCUGGCUGCAACUGUUUAUUAAAAACACAGCACUGUGCAAACACGAAAGUGGACGUAUACGGUGUGACGCCUGCCCGGUGCCGGAAGGUUAAUUGAUGGGGUCAGCGCAAGCGAAGCUCUUGAUCGAAGCCCCGGUAAACGGCGGCCGUAACUAUAACGGUCCUAAGGUAGCGAAAUUCCUUGUCGGGUAAGUUCCGACCUGCACGAAUGGCGUAAUGAUGGCCAGGCUGUCUCCACCCGAGACUCAGUGAAAUUGAACUCGCUGUGAAGAUGCAGUGUACCCGCGGCAAGACGGAAAGACCCCGUGAACCUUUACUAUAGCUUGACACUGAACAUUGAGCCUUGAUGUGUAGGAUAGGUGGGAGGCUUUGAAGUGUGGACGCCAGUCUGCAUGGAGCCGGCCUUGAAAUACCACCCUUUAAUGUUUGAUGUUCUAACGUUGACCCGUGAUCCGGGUUGCGGACAGUGUCUGGUGGGUAGUUUGACUGGGGCGGUCUCCUCCUAAAGAGUAACGGAGGAGCACGAAGGUUGGCUAAUCCUGGUCGGACAUCAGGAGGUUAGUGCAAUGGCAUAAGCCAGCUUGACUGCGAGCGUGACGGCGCGAGCAGGUGCGAAAGCAGGUCAUAGUGAUCCGGUGGUUCUGAAUGGAAGGGCCAUCGCUCAACGGAUAAAAGGUACUCCGGGGAUAACAGGCUGAUACCGCCCAAGAGUUCAUAUCGACGGCGGUGUUUGGCACCUCGAUGUCGGCUCAUCACAUCCUGGGGCUGAAGUAGGUCCCAAGGGUAUGGCUGUUCGCCAUUUAAAGUGGUACGCGAGCUGGGUUUAGAACGUCGUGAGACAGUUCGGUCCCUAUCUGCCGUGGGCGCUGGAGAACUGAGGGGGGCUGCUCCUAGUACGAGAGGACCGGAGUGGACGCAUCACUGGUGUUCGGGUUGUCAUGCCAAUGGCACUGCCCGGUAGCUAAAUGCGGAAGAGAUAAGUGCUGAAAGCAUCUAAGCACGAAACUUGCCCCGAGAUGAGUUCUCCCUGACUCCUUGA
rnacentral:rRNA from 1 species